ensembl:lncRNA
GAUGUUUUUUGUUUGUUUGUUUUUUUUUGUUUUUAGGUGGAGGAAUAAGUUACACUAGUUUCAAAAUGAAGGAAGAUUGACUUCAAAUGUUUAAUGAUUAAAGCAUUAAUUCUCCAUUCAUUCAUCCAUCAAUGCAAUCAUUCCAUGAUCUGAUGCAAGCCAGAAGGCAAUUUUUAACAGCACUCAAAGGUUUCCUUCUGAAUUUAUUUCUAAAAGCAUCUUUAAACAUAAAUGCUGAAAGUGUUUGUGCAACUCCUCUGGUAUCUUAUGUUGCCCAAAGCUAGUUUGUAUUUCAUGAGAGUGUUUUAUGUUUGUGCAUGUAAAAAUGCCCUAUUCUCGUCUUCUCUCUUUGGCAUGUAAUACAUCCUGGCAUGAAUAAUACUGCAUGCAUUGCUAUAAGCAAAAUUUCUCACAGAUGGGUAUCACACAGAGGGCCUUACUCUUAUCUUGAGCAGUUAGCCACUCACUCUUGGGCUUCAGACCAAUUCUGCUUUGAGCUGAAUGGUAACCUUAGUUUCUUACUCUCUGAGGGGAAACCAGGCAUGGAAACACUCACAGUAAACAGUGCAGUUGCUCAACAUAAGUUGCUUCUGAACUCUGGAGUAACUAUCAAAGUGCUGUCCUGUGUAGCUGAUGCGCUACUUCAUUAAUUAAGCCCAUAUGUCGCUCCCUCCUCAUAAUGUAGGAUUUUCUCCUGACUGAGCAUUUGCUGUGCUGGGACAAAUACAUCACCUAGAACACAAAAAUACUGCAGGCUAAAGUCACCUUACAUUACAUAUACUGAAGCAGAGGUACUGCAUGUUUUUCGAAGAAAGUGGCAAAAGUAAGUGGAAAACCGAAAACUAAAUCUAAUAUUAUGUAUUAUUGCUCCUUUAGUCAGAAUGUGUUUCUGCAGGUUACAUCGUUUCGCCGGUAGUUGCUGUCUAUAAGUGGGAAAUUGAAUCAUUGUUUCGACCAAUUCGUUCAUGAAUGCUUCAGGAAUGAAACAAGUGACUCAUCAGUGAGUCAUUGAAUUAUUCACUCAACUAAUUCAUCCAAGAACAAAACAUCUCAGAGACGAGCACAAAUUCUGCUGUUGCUACGUUUUGGAAUUAUUUUUUGUUGGAGGACCAACAUAAACUGACAAACAAUUGUGUCCAAAAUGUAGGUUACUCAAUAAUAACGUCUUGUUUAUUGAACACAGAUCUGAUUAUCAGUGACUUAAGGAUAUUAGGGGAAAAAAUCACCUUGCUUUUGUUAAAAUAUGAGUGUUAAAAAAAAAUGUAUUUCUCUUUCAUUUUAUUGCUAGGUUGUAGAUAACGACUGCGGUCUCUGGAUGAAAAAUACAAGUAAUUGCAGCCGCUUCUUCAUGGUUUGUUGUGUGAACUUUGGAACUGAGAACUUUUUAUAUUUUUUGUAAUGAACUGAGAACUGCUGUCGUGAUAUUAUGUGUAUACUUCGCCCUCUAUGGACGAUAUUUAAAAAUGCAAUUUUUAUGACUUAAAUCAGUAUGGACUGAAUGUUCAUCUGUGUCCCUGCAGCACAGAAGCAGUCAUAAGUAGCACAGGUAUAUUUGUAGCAAUAGCCAACAAUACAUUGUAUGGGUCAAAGUUAUCGAAUUUUCUUUUAUGCAAAAAAUCAUUAGGAUAAUAAAUAAAGAUCAUGUUCCAUGAAGAUAUUUUAAUUUUGAAAAAUUGACCCUUAUGACUGGUUUUGUGGCCCAGGGUCACAUAUAGGGUUAUUUAUAAUUAUAUAUUCAGUAAUUGUAUAUUUUUAAAUAUAUUGGCUGAUUAAUUGGAAUCCUAUGCUUAGUCACUGGCCCACUGGAAUGCAUGCACUUUUGAUCUUGUAGUGUAUAAUGAUACUUUGCUUCAUUAAUGAAUGUCAAUUAAAUGCAAUCCUGUAUUGGAUUUGUGCAAAGGUGUCUGUGGAGUGUAGAUAAUAGCAAACUUUCAAUCAAAAGACUGAGAGAAUGUUUUUACUUGUGUGUGCACUCGCAUGUCAAGCUUGUCCUUCAGAGGAGCUGAGAGAUGGAGAGUGGUGACAAAGGUACAAACAUUAUUCUCCUCCUGCUAUAUUUUGAGGUCUUUAUUACCGUCUAAUGCACAUCACUAUUCAUCCAGCGCUCUCUCAGACCCACCCACGGCACUGUUCCUGACACCUCAUAACACACACACACACACACACACACACACACACACACACACACACACACACACACACACACACACACACACACACAAGUAAUGUCCUUUAUUCACUGCUGAAGUAGCCCACUCAGAAUUCCACACUCGUUCUUACACAGAGAAAAUGAGAGCGAGAGAAAGGGAGGGAGAGGUAGGAGGAAGGUGAAGUAAAAGAGAGAUCAAGGAUGAAGCACACUGGCUCCAGCGCGCCACAAAAAUGUCACUACAGGCUCCGUUAUAAAUCACUGACCGCUGUGAUGUGUUUACUCAUUACACUGAGGUGCAGUUCUGUCAUCCAGAGUCUCAUUUAGUCCUCCAGAACCCAAAGCCAAGGCUGCCGUGGCCUGAACGCUGAUCUUAUCCUCCCAGCGGCUGGGCCGAGAUAAAACGCACCACGCUCAGCUCACCGACUAAACAUUUGUCUCAGACUUUAACCGAAUUGUUUACAGAGGAGGGCAAUAGUAUAGUGGGGUUUUUGUAGUUAUAGCAGACUGCCCACAUAUAAAAUCACACACAAUAGAUUAUAGGAGAAUACAACUCUGUAAAGCCUUUUUAGCAUCAGAUUUGUGAUAUUUUUCCUGUAUGGAUGUUUUAAUUGAAUGUCAUUUCUGUAACCUUAAUGUUCUGUUGAGAUUUAUUGUAUGGUUGAGGUCCCAUAAACUGUGAGCAUAUGGUGUUUUUGUUCAAAACAAUUUUUUUUCCCCCAUUAAUAGAGUGAUUUACAAUGGACGCGGCCAUCGCAAUACUCCUUUGUUACUAUGGCCAUUUAUUUUUUGCACUACUUCUAACUGAUUUAGCAAUAUCAUAGGACAUAUCUGUUAGUUCCUCUUAUUAAAUUUGAUCAGAAUUAAUUUUGUAACUUCUGAUCACUACUAUAAAGCCAGUGUGUCAAGUUUACUGGUCUCUGACCUUAAGUAUUAACAGGUUUCUAAACAUACAUUUAUAGUAAUACCAACACCAUUUUUAAUAACCUUUUUUUUUUUUUCUGGAAGCCACACAUAAAACCUUUAGUAAAUCACGAUGACAUAAAAAGUCUACAUUAUAAGAUAAAAGUAAUAAUUUUGAGAUAAAUGUCAAAACUCAUACUAACGACUUAGUAUGUCAUAAUUUUUACUUUUUAUCUCAUAAUUAUAACUUAGUCUCUCAUAAUGUACACUUUCUAUCUCAUAUUUUCAGUUUUUUAUGUCAGUUGUCUCACUAUGACCUAGUAUGUAAUAAUGAAGACUUUGUUUCAUAAUUGUGAAUUAGUAUUUCAUAAUGUAGACUUUUUAUCUCAUA